rnacentral:lncRNA from 1 species
GGCAAUUAUCUUUUUACUGAUUUCUUUUUCACCUGAAAGGAAACCACCUAAACAGGAAAAAAAAAAAAAAAAAAAAAAAAAAAAAAAAACCCCUGACAGUUAAUCUGGAUUAAUUUGUGUUUUCUCAUUGCUUUGUUUCAAUGUUAAUGGAUAAUCUUAGGUUCAAAAGAUAUAUCCUGCCAUGUGGCUGAAGACUGAGUGUCCAGAACUCUUUGGUAAACAGCACUUAUGGCCACCAGUAUGCAGCUAUCUGAACUAUGUAACUACACAGGGGAGUCAUUACAGACCACUGACAGUCACCAUUUGAUGCAGGACAAGAUCAGCUAGGAGACCUGUUUCUUUCUACCUGUGAAAAUUGAGGAGAGGAAAGGUAAGAUGUGGAUAUUUCAAGACUCCUGAAUUUAUUGCAGACUAAUUUGGGGCUCAGAUGUCAAAAGAAAUAAAAGCAAACUGAUAUUUACUGACAUUUAGCACCUCAUGCUGAAAAUAUAUAAAAAAAACCAAACAAACAAAACAAAGGCAAAAAAGACAAAAAAUUUAUUAGUCUUAUCAUUUAUUACACCAAGCAUUGAA